rnacentral:piRNA from 1 species
UUGUGCUGGAAAAUGAUCCUCUUGAUCCA